rnacentral:rRNA from 1 species
AUUGAACGCUGGCGGCAGGCCUAACACAUGCAAGUCGAACGGUAGCACAGAGAGCUUGCUCUCGGGUGACGAGUGGCGGACGGGUGAGUAAUGUCUGGGAAACUGCCCGAUGGAGGGAGAUAACUACUGGAAACGGUAGCUAAUACCGCAUAACGUCGCAAGACCAAAGUGGGGGACCUUCGGGCCUCACCCCAACGGAAGUGCCCAGAUGGGAUUAGCUAGUAGGUGGGGUAAUGGCUCACCUAGGCGACGAUCCCUAGCUGGUCUGAGAGGAUGACCAGCCACACUGGAACUGAGACACGGUCCAGACUCCUACGGGAGGCAGCAGUGGGGAAUAUUGCACAAUGGGCGCAAGCCUGAUGCAGCCAUGCCGCGUGUAUGAAGAAGGCCUUCGGGUUGUAAAGUACUUUCAGCGGGGAGGAAGGCGGUGGAGUUAAUAACUUCACCGAUUGACGUUACCCGCAGAAGAAGCACCGGCUAACUCCGUACCAGCCGCCGCGGUAA